rnacentral:rRNA from 1 species
CCUACGGGAGGCAGCAGUGGGGAAUCUUGCGCAAUGGGCGAAAGCCUGACGCAGCAACGCCGCGUGCGGGAAGAAGGCUUUCGGGCUGUAAACCGCUUUCAGCAGGAACGAAAAUGACGGUACCUGCAGAAGAAGGAGCGGCCAACUAUGUGCCAGCAGCCGCGGUGAUACAUAGGCUUCAAGCGUUGUCCGGAUUUAUUGGGCGUAAAGAGUUCGUAGGCGGUCAAGUAAGUCGGGUGUGAAAAUUCUGGGCUCAACCCAGAGACGCCACCCGAUACUGCUUAACUUGAGUUCGAUAGGGGAGUGGGGAAUUCCUAGUGUAGCGGUGAAAUGCGCAGAUAUUAGGAGGAACACCGGUGGCGAAGGCGCCACUCUGGAUCGAUACUGACGCUGAGGAACGAAAGCAUGGGUAGCAAACAGGAUUAGAUACCCUGGUAGUCCGUGCCGUAAACGGUGGGGCACUAGGUGUGGGUUUCUAUUAACGAAAUCCGCGCCGUCGCUAACGCAUUAAGUGCCCCGCCUGGGGAGUACGGUCGCAAGCUAAAACUCAAAUGAAUUGAACCGGUNUGAGAGUGCGAGACGACGACGAGGAGAGG